UGGGGAAUAUUGCACAAUGGGCGCAAGCCUGAUGCAGCCAUGCCGCGUGUAUGAAGAAGGCCUUCGGGUUGUAAAGUACUUUCAGCGGGGAGGAAGGGAGUAAAGUUAAUACCUUUGCUCAUUGACGUUACCCGCAGAAGAAGCACCGGCUAACUCCGUGCCAGCAGCCGCGGUAAUACGGAGGGUGCAAGCGUUAAUCGGAAUUACUGGGCGUAAAGCGCACGCAGGCGGUUUGUUAAGUCAGAUGUGAAAUCCCCGGGCUCAACCUGGGAACUGCAUCUGAUACUGGCAAGCUUGAGUCUCGUAGAGGGGGGUAGAAUUCCGGGUGUAGCGGUGAAAUGCGUAGAGAUCUGGAGGAAUACCGGUGGCGAAGGCGGCCCCCUGGACGAAGACUGACGCUCAGGUGCGAAAGCGUGGGGAGCAAACAGG
rnacentral:rRNA from 1 species